GAACCAGUACCGUGAGGGAAAGGCGAAAAGAACCCCGGCGAGGGGAGUGAAAAAGAACCUGAAACCGUGUACGUACAAGCAGUGGGAGCACAGAGCAAUCUGUGUGACUGCGUACCUUUUGUAUAAUGGGUCAGCGACUUAUAUUCUGUAGCAAGGUUAACCGAAUAGGGGAGCCGAAGGGAAACCGAGUCUUAACUGGGCGUUAAGUUGCAGGGUAUAGACCCGAAACCCGGUGAUCUAGCCAUGGGCAGGUUGAAGGUUGGGUAACACUAACUGGAGGACCGAACCGACUAAUGUUGAAAAAUUAGCGGAUGACUUGUGGCUGGGGGUGAAAGGCCAAUCAAACCGGGAGAUAGCUGGUUCUCCCCGAAAGCUAUUUAGGUAGCGCCUCGUGAAUUCAUCUCCGGGGGUAGAGCACUGUUUCGGCAAGGGGGUCAUCCCGACUUACCAACCCGAUGCAAACUGCGAAUACCGGAGAAUGUUAUCACGGGAGACACACGGCGGGUGCUAACGUCCGUCGUGAAGAGGGAAACAACCCAGACCGCCAGCUAAGGUCCCAAAGUCAUGGUUAAGUGGGAAACGAUGUGGGAAGGCCCAGACAGCCAGGAUGUUGGCUUAGAAGCAGCCAUCAUUUAAAGAAAGCGUAAUAGCUCACUGGUCGAGUCGGCCUGCGCGGAAGAUGUAACGGGGCUAAACCAUGCACCGAAGCUGCGGCAGCGACACUGUGUGUUGUUGGGUAGGGGAGCGU
rnacentral:rRNA from 1 species